rnacentral:rRNA from 1 species
AUAUUAUUAAGCGGAGGAAAAGAAACUAACAAGGAUUCCCCUAGUAACGGCGAGUGAACGGGGAAGAGCCCAACACCGAAUCCCUUGGCGCAAGUCAACGGGAAAUGUGGUGUUAAGGUAGCCCUUCGUGUCAGUCUAGGCGUCUCAAGUCCACCUGAUUGUGGCUCAAGCCCAGAGAGGGUGUAAGGCCCGUAGAGACGCUCCGACUGAUUCCUGGGGUUUACCUACGAGUCGGCUUGUUUGGGAAUGCAGGCCAAAGCGGGUGGUAAACUCCAUCCAAGGCUAAAUACUGGCACGAGUCCGAUAGCGGACAAGUACCGUGAGGGAAAGUUGAAAAGAACUUUGAAGAGAGAGUUCAAUAGUACGUGAAACCGCUUAGAGGCAAACGGAUGGUGCUCAUACUGGCCUGAGGAAUUCAACUGUGACGGUGGCUGGACGAGCUGGCGUUCCGAUCUCUCUUUUGGGACGGGCGUCGGUUUGGCUAUCAGCUCCGACAUGGUGCACUUUCCUUGGUGCCUCCGCCACGACCGACGACACUGGCUACCCGCGGCUGGGGUAAGGUGACAAACUGCUUCGGCAAUUUGUGUUAUAGACCCCGGCGUCGGACAUGGUUUGGCCAGGACGUCGAGCUUGCGGCGCCCGCUCCUUGUGGGCUCGCAUGUUGGCUAGCUUGGCUGCGCCGAUGCUUGCACUGGACAACCAGUACAGGUGACGGUUGUGGUCUUGUCUCUAGUUGGCCUCUGCGAGUUUGGCGCCUAUAGUCUGUGGUGUACUUGUGGGUAGACUAUCCGACCCGUCUUGAAACACGGACCAAGGAGUCUAACAUGUGCGCGAGUCAUGGGGAUUCUACGAAACCCAAAGGCGCAGUGAAAGUAAAGGCCUGCUUCUCGUAGGCUGAGGUGGGAUCUCGUGCAUCGCGAUUGGCGAGCGCACCACCGGCCCGUCCUAUCUGUCUCUGUCAGUGGGGCGGCGCAAGAGCGUACACGUUGGGACCCGAAAGAUGGUGAACUAUGCUUGCGCAGCUCGAAGUCAGUGGAAACACUGAUGGAGGAGCGCAGCGUUUCUGACGUGCAAAUCGAUCGUCAAACGUGAGUAUAGGGGCGAAAGACUAAUCGAACCAUCUAGUAGCUGGUUCCCU